CGGGGUGAGUAAUGUCUGGGAAACUGCCUGAUGGAGGGGGAUAACUACUGGAAACGGUAGCUAAUACCGCAUAACGUCGCAAGACCAAAGAGGGGGACCUUCGGGCCUCUUGCCAUCGGAUGUGCCCAGAUGGGAUCAGCUAGUAGGUGGGGUAACGGCUCACCUAGGCGACGAUCCCUAGCUGGUCUGAGAGGAUGGCCAGCCACACUGGAACUGAGACACGGUCCAG
rnacentral:rRNA from 1 species